rnacentral:rRNA from 1 species
ACGCUCGACACCUACGGAGGCAGCAGUGGGGAAUAUUGCACAAUGGGGGAAACCCUGAUGCAGCGACGCCGCGUGAGCGAAGAAGUAUUUCGGUAUGUAAAGCUCUAUCAGCAGGGAAGAAACUGACGGUACCUGACUAAGAAGCACCGGCUAAAUACGUGCCAGCAGCCGCGUAAUCNGNGCGGGCUGGCAAGGC